rnacentral:rRNA from 1 species
UACGUAGGGCGCGAGCGUUGUCCGGAAUUAUUGGGCGUAAAGGGCUUGUAGGUGGCUGGUUGCGUCUGUCGUGAAAGCUCAUGGCUUAACUGUGGGUUUGCGGUGGGUACGGGCUGGCUUGAGUGCAGUAGGGGAGGCUGGAAUUCCUGGUGUAGCGGUGGAAUGCGCAGAUAUCAGGAGGAAUACCGGUGGCGAAGGCGGGUCUCUGGGCUGUUACUGACACUGAGGAGCGAAAGCAUGGGGAGCGAACAGG